CUGGGGUCGGAAGGGACAGGCCGGAGCCUCCUGGGGGCGGGGCGUGCAGGCAGCGGUGCUAAGAGGUGAUGACAGAUCUCUGAAUAGCUCAUGUAUGCAGUGUCUUCAGCAAUAGAAGUCUUAUCCUCAAGCUCUGCUCAGCAAUCACUGAAGAAGGGGAAGAAAGGUUCUAAGGGCCACAAGCAACAGAGGACUACAGAGAAUCAGUGCUUUCUAGACAUGACAGGCUGCUGCACAUACCUCACAGUGGCUGUGACUCUAUGCACAAGACCCACACAAGAUCAAGCCAACCAGAAUCACUGCGUGGAUGGGGGAGGGGGAAUCAUUGUCCAAAUUAGUUCUUUGUCGCUGAAAAAAAUAGCUAAUAGUUGUACUAGAUGGUAUCAUUUCUAAAUGAGUCAUUUUCUCAAUUUGUAAAACCCAAUUUGUAAUUUGAAAUAGCCCUAUAAAACCUCUAUAAGUACAUAUUCAUAUCCAUGCAUAAAUUACUGUUAUAAUAAA